rnacentral:sRNA from 1 species
UGUCAAGGAAGGCAGGCUAAGCGCGACGUCCUGUCGCAACGCCUGCAUGACUCGCAUCGUGCGAG